CCUACGGGCGGCAGCAGUGAGGAAUAUUGGUCAAUGGGCGGAAGCCUGAACCAGCCAAGUCGCGUGAAGGAUGACUGCCCUACGGGUUGUAAACUUCUUUUAUAAAGGAAUAAAGUGAGGCACGUGUGCCUUUUUGUAUGUACUUUAUGAAUAAGGAUCGGCUAACUCCGUGCCAGCAGCCGCGGUAAUACGGAGGAUCCGAGCGUUAUCCGGAUUUAUUGGGUUUAAAGGGAGCGUAGAUGGGUUGUUAAGUCAGUUGUGAAAGUUUGCGGCUCAACCGUAAAAUUGCAAUUGAUACUGGCAGGCUUGAGUACAGUUGAGGUAGGCAGAAUUCGUGGUGUAGCGGUGAAAUGCUUAGAUAUCACGAAGAACUCCGAUUGCGAAGGCAGCUUACUAAACUGCCACUGACAUUGAUGCGCGAAAGUGUGGGUAUCAAACAGGAUUAGAUACCCGUGUAGUC
rnacentral:rRNA from 1 species